rnacentral:lncRNA from 1 species
AUGCUUAGCAUCAGCAUGAAUUAUGGGGAGGGAUUUCUUGGACUUUUCGUUUUGGAUCAGUGUUUGGAAAAUAACCAUAAACUGUAUAUUGACUUUAAAAUGGCUUACCAACAGGAAAAUAUUAGAAGUGAUCCUGAAACGCUCAAGGCUUUCCGAUUGCAACAUAGUGAAAUUCAAAGCCAUCUGCAACAACAAAAGAACCCAUUACUGACCAAGCAGCACUGUUGGAUGAAGACUGUUAUGAAGAAGAGUUACACUUACAAUUCAAGGUUCAUUACAGUCCCUUUCUGCAAGUUACUGCGAAGUAGAUUUGCCCACUGUGGAAUCCAUUUGACUUUGCUGUGCAAGAUUUUGGACCUUUUUAACAAGCACUAUGGUACCAUCAGGAAUCAAGUGGACUGCUGCUACCAGCAUCUGAAAGAUGAAUAA